rnacentral:SRP_RNA from 1 species
GCACGUGAGCAUGCCUGCGAAUCAAUUUCUAGAAAACUGGAUUGUG